rnacentral:misc_RNA from 1 species
AAAGAAGGGACGAACGUCGCGAUCUGCGCCAGGGGAAGUGAGGACCUGGAGAAGGCGGCAGAAGGGAUCCGAGAGCACGGAGUGAAGGUCCUGACUGUUGCCGCUGACGUCACGAAUGCGGAAGACGUGCAGAGGGUCGUAGACCAACGGUCCGGGAGUUCGGCCGCCUGGAUAUCCUGGUGAACAACGCCGGUGGCAUCGUACCCGACCAUUCGGUCAACACUUCGGAUGAGGAGUGGCGCUACGCCAUGGACUUCAACCUGAACAGUGCCAUCCGGUUCACCCGGGCCGUCGUACCGUACAUG